UGCGAAUUUCUUGAAAUGGCGUCGGUUCAAACCUGUGCCAAUUUGUAAUAAAAAUAAAAACCCGCCCCUUUUUCUUCUUUCUAUUUCCCUCUUCGUUCUUUUUGUUUCCCCUCUUCGUUCUUAUCUCUCUUUUCUCUCUCCUCUCUCCUCAAACAAACCCUAAUCUACUGAAGAAAUCAGCCUCAAACGACCUGCUGCCCUCCUUCGAAAACUGGCGUCAAUUCGAACCAAGGACAACCAUCAUCGCCUCCACCGUAUAUUUCUUGAAUCUACAAUAUUGGAGGUUAGGGUUUCUGGGUGCGUCUAUUUUGAAUCAAUUCGAUGUGCGUGCGUCUUCAACAACAACAUAUUCGAAUCAAUUUUGAACAAAAAUCAGAAAUUCGAGAUGGCUGGAGAAACUGAUACCAAUAACAAUGGAGGUAACAACGCUUUUAAUGAAGAUAAGAAGCCUGCUCCUGAUCAAUUUACUCAUAUCAAUCUCAAGGUUAUAGGUCAGUUGAUGACAGUCUGUUGCUUACUCUUGCCCAUUAAAAGUACAAAUCUGGGAACUACAAGCAAGCACUUGACUUCAGCAAUAAUUUGUUCGAGAGAAACCCUCGCCGUACAGAUAAUAUUUUGCUAUUGGGUGCUAUAUAUUAUCAGCUGCUAAACUUAGGGACUGAGGGUAGCAUCAAUGAGAUGGGCAGGCUGACAAUAAUCUUACAGAUUAAAGAGCUGAGGGGUGGAAGUUAAUCCAAACAAUGAGACGGGUAAGCUGAAAUAAUCAGUCAUUUAUGAUUAGGGAGAUUUUCCCUCAAUCCACCUCUCGCCAUGUGGACCAAUCAGGGCCUGACAAGUGUCACCUAGUUGGACUUAUCAGGACCUGCCACGUGGCGUGCUUCCAUUGGUCCACCAUGGACCUCCCAUGCUGCGCCAUGUAGCCCUCUCAGCCUUGCCUAAACAGGUAAUAGAUUGGGCCCAAUUCCCAGGAAAGCCCAGUCAUUCCUAGGGUUGGCCAAAAACCCUAGAACCUGGCACGCUUCCCAAGGCUAUAAAUACGGUCAUAAAUGCUCAUUUAUGACAAGAGACUGUUCACAAGAAACACUCGGAUUUACACAAAUCCCAAGACAAUCAUACAUCACUCGGUACCGCAUGCUAGACCCGUCCUAGCAUCCGGCACCUAUUUACAUUCUGCUUUACAACUCCUUCAUCUACUAACUUGAUCAUUGGAGGCGGAGCUCCCUACCCAAGGAGUCUCUGUUAUCUUGCAGGUACAGGCGCGUGGUUCCAGCCUCGAAGUUGUAACUCUCCCAAGGGACACAGAAAACCCCGGAACAAUUUAUAUCUUGUACAACUACUAUAUAGGUUCUAUUCACAACAGUGGAGGACAUGGACAGCCUGUUUCAUACAAGCAGCAUGGCGGCGAUACAACAGAAAGAAGCAUGGGAAAUCAUUACGAGACGCUCUUGCAAGGGGGUUGGAAGCUCACCAAGCUCUGGUGCCACAGUUUAUGCAUCAAGGUUUGCUGCCAAUGCACUUCGUAACUUGCGACAUAAUACUUCCCGAAAUAACAAAAUUCCACCAAGGUCACCCCUCCUCAUCUUGCAGAAGCCAACUGAACCUGAUUUCUCAUCGUUUGACGAUGGUUAGCCACUUAGCCUUUCAUUCCCUUCCCUUCCAAGUUAUUGCUUCUUCCUACUCUUAACUUCGAUGUUUAGAUCAUCAUUAAUCAACAGGUAUAAUUUGUAAAAUGGUAGGAUUAGAAAAUGUCCAGUUUGAAGCCUAAGUGAUACUCCUAUGUAUGAUUUUAUUACAGCCUAACAAAAUCAUGAUGUUAUUUUAUUUUAUUUUAUUUUUUUGAACGAAAAUUGUAAUAUUACAGCCUUUUUUAAUGAAAAAAUGUAACU